GGGUGCGGUUCGCCGCCCCCGACGUCGCGAGAAGUCCAUUGAACCUUAUCAUUUAGAGGAAGGAGAAGUCGUAACAAGGUUUCCGUAGGUGAACCUGCGGAAGGAUCAUUG
rnacentral:rRNA from 1 species